CUUUUUGACUAUGCAAUCGAGUUUGCUCACCACUCCCUAAGGCUGCAACUCACACCCACUCCUCUCUGGUCCAGAGGGAGGGAGUGGAAGGCUGAGAUGACUGUUGUGCAGAAGGGAUGCCAAGGAUGUAAAUAGAGAAGGCAGGAGGGGCAUGAAUCUUCUGGUUGGUGAGAGAGGAGAGGAUGCCCACCCCUGACAGCAGGAGAUCCAAGUAGGAAAGUGCAGGAGGUGCCAGGAGACGCUACCUAGGGGUCAGGAGAGAAAUAAUAAAUGGAGAUGUCACCUACAGUGAUGGUAGAAUUGCAGAUAUGACAGCCAGAGACUGGAAAAGAGAAGAAAGAAGACGAAAGAGAGGGAACAGAAAGAAAGAAGGGGAAGGAGUGGGAGUAAAGAGCCAGACCUCAGAGAACACCAACACUUAGGAUGUUAGGAAGAAAAAGAGCUCGAGGAUUAGACAGUCGAAGCGGUCAGAGACAAUGAGAAGAGCAGACCCACGAGGGACGGGAAGGUUUCUCGAAGAUCCAUCAGUGCUGGGGAAGUUUCUCAGUCUGCUCAGGCUGCCAUAACGAAAGACCGCAGACUGGGUGGCUCAAACAACAGAACUUUAUUUUCUCACAGUUGUAGAAGCUGGAAGUCUGAGACCAGAGUGCCACCAUGGGCACGAGGAGGAGGGUGAUAAAAAGAAUACAGCCUGGCGCAUGGUGAGCUCCGAAUCAGUGUUAACUAAUAUCGUCGGACUGAGCGAAAGAAGCAAGACGCAGAAUGAGUUUAGGUCAACUGAAAGCACAGUGGUGUACCCGGGACCUCCUUCGUCCUACUACAGAAAGCAAGGCCUCAAUGAAGAUGUUUGCAUGUGUUCCCUUCUGGACCUGUGUCGAGGACCCGGCACGCUCACCAUGAGACUGCUGGAUCCUUCACUGUGGAUAAUUUCUCUUGACUGAAUUCCACCUGAUGGCUCUCCAAAUCGCUGCCACCAGGGGCGUGCAACAUCCCUGGUUCCCCACAACCCUGUGAACACUUGGCGUCAUCCAACUUUCUAGUGAGUAUAAAGCAACAGUUGACUGCUGUGUUAACUAUGUCUCUCCAAUUAUUAUUGAGUUUGAGCAGCCCUACAUUUAUUUAUGAGCUAUUUCGGUUUCCCUUUCUGUGAAUUGCUUGUUUAUACACUUUGCCCAGUGCUCUAUUGGGUUUCAUUUCUUUUUAUUAACAAUUUAUGGGACUUCUUGUCUAUUCUAGGUUUCAGUCACACGUGGGUUUCAGAUGAGGCAUCUGUGGAUGACAUUUGUCUAUAGCAGGCUUUCUCAGUCUAGGUGCUAUUGACAUUUUGGCCAGAUAAUUCUUCGUUCUGGGGCUGUCCUAUGCGUUGGGGGAUGCUUAGCCUCUACCCACUUAGAAGCCAGUAGCAUCUCCCAUGCAGUUGUGACAACAAAAAUGUCUCCGGAUACUGCCAAAUGUCCUGUAAUGGGGGCAAAAUCGCCCCCACUUGAGAAGCACUGGUCUAUAGGCUAUUCCCCACCUUGGAUGUUGGUUAUCUAAUCCCAUUGAUUAGAAAUCCAUAAUUUUGGUUAAAACUUAAAUUCAUUAAGUUUUCAUCUUGCGCUUUGUGUUGGGGGAUCUUGUUUGAGAAGCCCUCCUCACUCCUAGGUUAUUAAAAUGUUUACUCAGCUUUAUUGUUUAGGCUUCAACGUUUAAGUCUUCAAUUUCUCUGGAGUCCACUUUUGCAUUCUGGGUCAAGUAGGAUCCAGUUGUGUUCUGAUAUGUGUAGUCAGCCAGUUUUCCAAAGCCAUCUACUAGUUAGUGGGACCUUUCUCAUUGAUCUAUGAGGUUGUAUUCAUCUUAUAUCAAGUUCCCAUAUGUGCGUGCUCUGUCAACAAGCUCUCUAUCCUCUUCCUUUGGGCUGUUGACCUGCCCUUCCAUCAGAACCACAGUCCAUGACUGUGACUUUUUUUUUUUUUUGGUAAGGAAGAUUGCCCCUGAGUUAACAUCUGUGCCAAUCUUCCUCCAUUUUGUAUGUGAGACACCACCACAGCAGGGCUUGAUGAGUGGUGUGUAGGUCCGCACCCAGGAUCUAAACCUGCAAAUCCCCGGCCACUGAAACGGAGUGCGUGAACUUAAUCACUAUGCCACCAGGCUGGUCCCUACUAUGACUUUUACUAUAUUUUAAUAUCUAGGAGAGCUGUCCCCCACUUUUAAAAGUUGGCUCCGCUAUUUGCAGAUGUUUAUACUUAUUAAUUUCAGAAGAAGUUUGUCAAGUUUCUCAACAUAAUCUAUCUGGAAUUCUGAUUGCAAUUGCAUCAAAUUUAUAAAUUAAUUUGAAG
rnacentral:lncRNA from 1 species